rnacentral:rRNA from 1 species
UACGUAGGGGGCGAGCGUUGUCCGGAUUUAUUGGGCGUAAAGGGCGCGUAGGCGGUUCGCUAAGUUGGAUGUGAAAACUCUGGGCUCAACCCAGAGCCUGCAUCCAAAACUGGCGGGCUAGAGUUCUGGAGGGGGUAGCGGAAUUCCUGGUGUAGCGGUGAAAUGCGUAGAUAUCUGGAGGAACACCGGUGGCGAAGGCGGCAUCCUGGACCAACACUGACGCUGAGGAGCGAAAGCCAGGGGAGCAAACGGG